rnacentral:rRNA from 1 species
AUUGAACGCUGGCGGCAGGCCUAACACAUGCAAGUCGAACGGUAACAGGAAGCAGCUUGCUGCUUUGCUGACGAGUGGCGGACGGGUGAGUAAUGUCUGGGAAACUGCCCGAUGGAGGGGGAUAACUACUGGAAACGGUAGCUAAUACCGCAUAACGUCGCAAGACCAAAGAGGGGGACCUUAGGGCCUCUUGCCAUCGGAUGUGCCCAGAUGGGAUUAGCUAGUAGGUGGGGUAACGGCUCACCUAGGCGACGAUCCCUAGCUGGUCUGAGAGGAUGACCAGCCACACUGGAACUGAGACACGGUCCAGACUCCUACGGGAGGCAGCAGUGGGGAAUAUUGCACAAUGGGCGCAAGCCUGAUGCAGCCAUGCCGCGUGUAUGAAGAAGGCCUUCGGGUUGUAAAGUACUUUCAGCGGGGAGGAAGGGAGUAAAGUUAAUACCUUUGCUCAUUGACGUUACCCGCAGAAGAAGCGCCGGCUAACUCCGU